rnacentral:rRNA from 1 species
GACGAACGCUGGCGGCGUGCUUAACACAUGCAAGUCGAGCGGAAAGGCCCUUCGGGGUACUCGAGCGGCGAACGGGUGAGUAACACGUGAGUAAUCUGCCCUUGGCUUUGGGAUAACUACCGGAAACGGUGGCUAAUACCGGAUACGACAACCGUCUGCAUGGGCUGGUUGUGGAAAGUUUUUUCGGCCAGGGAUGUGCUCGCGGCCUAUCAGCUUGUUGGUGGGGUAAUGGCCUACCAAGGCUUCGACGGGUAGCCGGCCUGAGAGGGUGACCGGCCACACUGGGACUGAGACACGGCACAGACUCCUACGGGAGGCAGCAGUGGGGAAUAUUGGACAAUGGGCGGAAGCCUGAUCCAGCAACGCCGCGUGAAGGAUGACGGCCUUCGGGUUGUAAGCCUCUUUCAGUACCGACGAAGCGCCGAUGAUGGUGGUGACGGUAGGUACAGAAGAAGCACCGGCCAACUACGUG